UAAAUGCUUCAUUCCAGGACUGGGUCACUCUUUUAUUCAGCUUGAAGUUGGUAAGGUGCUGUUUCUCCACCUUUCAUUGUGAGUAUUAACAUAACCAGCAGGAGAGUGAUGUUAGACUGUAAGUCUGCAGGCUGGUAUCCAGAGCCUGAGGUGUUGUGGCUGGAUGGUGAGGGAAAGCUCCUCUCUGCUGGACCUACAGAGACAGUCAGAGGUCCUGAUGACCUCUAUACUGUCAGCAGCAGAGUGACUGUGGAGAAGAGACACAGCAACAGCUUCACCUGUAGAGUCCAUCAGAGGAACAUCAACCAGACCACAGAGACAACUACUCACAUAUCAGCUGAUGACAGCGAGGUGUCAACUGAUGUUCGUGUCCACUGGAUCGCUGCUGCAGUUUUCAGUGUUUUUGUAAUUGUAGUCCUGCUCACUGUGCACAUAGUUGUUGCAAUUCAUAAACAAAGUUAACUACGCUAAACAUCAAUGUAGCCAUUUCACUCUGUGAGGUAAAUUCACAGAUCUGUGAUACUGAAUUAAAGUUCAUAAUUUAAAUGGCUGAAGCUGCUACAGUCAGUAUUUUUAUGUUAAUGGUUGAUCGCAUAACUACGAUGAAAACUUGCUGCUCAUAUACGAUCGCUACAGCGAUGAAUCCACAAAGAGCUGCCACCUGCAACAUGGUAUAAAUAAAGAAAAAUAAACUUGUGUGUUUAAUCUGCUGCUGCUGCUGUGACAGUGUAAAAGUGCAUAAAUAAAUCAAUCUGGUCUCUUAUGCCAUUCAAACUGA